rnacentral:pre_miRNA from 1 species
AAAGUACUUCCUUCGUCCGGAAUUACUUGUCGCUCAAACGGAUGUAUCUAGACGUAUUUUAGUGCUAGAUAUAUCCAUUUGAGCGACAAGUAAUUCUGGACGGAGGGAGUAGAUC